GAGUUUGAUCGUGGCUCAGAUUGAACGCUGGCGGCAGGCCUAACACAUGCAAGUCGAGCGGUAGAGAGAAGCUUGCUUCUCUUGAGAGCGGCGGACGGGUGAGUAAUGCCUAGGAAUCUGCCUGGUAGUGGGGGAUAACGCUCGGAAACGGACGCUAAUACCGCAUACGUCCUACGGGAGAAAGCAGGGGACCUUCGGGCCUUGCGCUAUCAGAUGAGCCUAGGUCGGAUUAGCUAGUUGGUGAGGUAAUGGCUCACCAAGGCGACGAUCCGUAACUGGUCUGAGAGGAUGAUCAGUCACACUGGAACUGAGACACGGUCCAGACUCCUACGGGAGGCAGCAGUGGGGAAUAUUGGACAAUGGGCGAAAGCCUGAUCCAGCCAUGCCGCGUGUGUGAAGAAGGUCUUCGGAUUGUAAAGCACUUUAAGUUGGGAGGAAGGGCAGUAAAUUAAUAACUUUGCUGUUUUGACGUUACCGACAGAAUAAGCACCGGCUAACUCUGUGCCAGCCGCCG
rnacentral:rRNA from 1 species